ensembl:snRNA U6 U6 spliceosomal RNA
GUGCUCGCUUUGGCAGCAUAUUAAAAUUGGAAUGAUACAGAGAUUAGCAUGGCCCCUGCACAAGGAUGACAUGAAAAUUCGUGAAGGGUUUCAUACUCUG